rnacentral:rRNA from 1 species
UAACAGCCCACCAAGACGAUGAUAGGUAGGGGUUCUGAGAGGAAGGUCCCCCACAUUGGAACUGAGACACGGUCCAAACUCCUACGGGAGGCAGCAGUGAGGAAUAUUGGUCAAUGGACGAGAGUCUGAACCAGCCAAGUCGCGUGAGGGAAGACUGCCCUAUGGGUUGUAAACCUCUUUUAUAAGGGAAGAAUAAGUUCUACGUGUAGAAUGAUGCCUGUACCUUAUGAAUAAGCAUCGGCUAACUCCGUGCCAGCAGCCGCGGUAAUACGGAGGAUGCGAGCGUUAUCCGGAUUUAUUGGGUUUAAAGGGUGCGUAGGCGGUUUAUUAAGUUAGUGGUUAAAUAUUUGAGCUCAAACUCAAUUGUGCCAUUAAUACUGGUAAACUGGAGUACAGACGAGGUAGGCGGAAUAAGUUAAGUAGCGGUGAAAUGCAUAGAUAUAACUUAGAACUCCGAUAGCGAAGGCAGCUUACCAGACUGUAACUGACGCUGAUGCACGAGAGCGUGGGUAGCGAACAGGAUUAGAUACCCUGGUAGUCCACGCCGUAAACGAUG